rnacentral:Y_RNA from 1 species
GGCUGGUCUGAUGGUUGUGGGUUAUCAGAACUUAUUAACAUUAGUGUCACUAAAGCUGGUAUUGAACCCAUCACUGUUAAAUUUGACAGGCUUUAA